GAUGAGCGCUAGCUACAGGCUUAACACAUGCAAGUCGAGGGGUAGCAGGGUAGCAAUACCGCUGACGACCGGCGCACGGGUGAGUAACACGUAUCCAACCUUCCCAUAACUCAGGGAUAGCCUUUCGAAAGAAAGAUUAAUACCUGAUGGUACUUAUAUAAGGCAUCUUUUAUAAGUUAAAGAUUUAUUGGUUAUGGAUGGGGAUGCGUUCCAUUAGAUAGUUGGUGAGGUAACGGCUCACCAAGUCUUCGAUGGAUAGGGGUUCUGAGGGGAAGGUCCCCCACAUUGGUACUGAGACACGGACCAAACUCCUACGGGAGGCAGCAGUGAGGAAUAUUGGUCAAUGGGCGCGAGCCUGAACCAGCCAAGUAGCGUGAAGGAUGGAGGUCCUAUGGAUUGUAAACUUCUUUUAUAGUAGAAUAAAGUGAGCCACGUGUGGUUUUUUGUAUGUAUACUAUGAAUAAGGAUCGGCUAACUCCGUGCCAGCAGCCGCCGUAAAAC
rnacentral:rRNA from 1 species